rnacentral:misc_RNA from 1 species
UAAAAGUCGUAACAAGGUUUCCGUAGGUGAACCUGCGGAAGGAUCAUUAAUAAAUUUUUUUUUGAAAUAAAAAAAAAAUAAUAAUCAUCCUACCCUUUGUGAAUUUGUUUGUUUGAAUAAUUUUUUAAAAUUAUUCAUUGUCUAUCCAAGUUGGAAAGUUGUAAAAGACUCGAAGACUUGGAGCGGCAUAAAUAAGUUUAAAGACUUUUUUUUAAAAUUAAACUUUUGUAUUCAUUUGUCUAAAAUAAUUUUAUAAUAUAUAAAAACAACUUUUGACAAUGGAUCUCUUGGUUCUCGCAACGAUGAAGAACGCAGCAAAAUGCGAUAAGUAAUGUGAAUUGCAGAAUACGUGAAUCAUCGAAUCUUCGAACGCAUAUUGCACUUUUUUAGUUUACUAAGAAAGUAUGUCUGUUUGAGUAUCAGUAAAAUAUUCUCAUAAAAUUUUUAAUUUUAUGGUUAUGAGUGUUUUACAACGAUAAACACGUUGUUUCACUUUAAAUUGAAUUUUUUUGAAGAAAUUCUUAAUUCAAAUUAAAAUUUGGAUAAAAUUUUCCCGUAAAAAGGAAUAACUAUACAAGUUUAAUAAGAAUUUAGUGAUUUCUUUUAUGAAAAGGAAAUUUAUUAAAUAACUUGAUCUCAAAUCAGAUAAGAGUACCGCUGAACUUAAGCAUAUCAAUAAGCGGAGGAAAAGAAACUAACAAGGAUUCCCCUAGUAACGGCGAGUGAAGCGGGGAGAGCUCAAAUUUGAAAUCUUAAAGGGUUUCCCUUUACGAAUUGUAGUUUAAAGAAGUGUUUUCUGUUGAGGUUUUGGUAAAAGUUCUUUGGAAUAGGACAUCAUAGAGGGUGAGAAUCCCGUAUUUGACUUUACUUUCAACUUUGUGAUACACUUUCAAAGAGUCGGAUUGUUUGGGAAUGCAGUCCAAAAUGGGUGGUAAAUUUCAUCUAAAGCUAAAUAUUGGCGAGAGACCGAUAGCGAACAAGUACCGUGAGGGAAAGAUGAAAAGAACUUUGAAAAGAGAGUUAAGCAGUACGUGAAAUUGUCAAAAGGGAAGCGUUUGACACCAGUGUUGUUUUUCUGAAAAUCAAUUAAAGAACUGUUUAUGCUAAGUUGUUUAGACUUUAUCAGCUAACUGUUUAGUUUUGAGCUUUUCUUUAAUGCACUUUUCAGUUAACAAGUCAACAUCAAUUUCUUUUGCUGUAAAAAAGCUUGAGGAAGGUGGCUUGAGAUUCGUCUUAAGUGUUUAUAGCCUCUUGCUAUGCAGUCGAGAGAUUGAGGUCUGCAGCGUAGAUCCUUCGGGGCUAAAUGCAUUUGUGCUAAGUUAUAGCAUUUUAUAGACAACUUGUUGACUAUGAUUUGUCUUGAAGCUUACUCGCUUAUGUUAUUUUACCUACGCUUAGGAUGUUGAAGAUGUAGCACAUCAUUCAGACGAUGCGUCAUGGAAGUAAAAGUCGUACAAGGUUUCUUGCGAUGAUACCCUUAGCCUCACCGUU